UACGUAGGUGGCGAGCGUUGUCCGGAUUUACUGGGCGUAAAGCGCGUGUAGGCGGCCCACUAAGUCUGAUGUGAAAGCCCGGGGCUCACCCCCGGAAGUGCAUUGGAAACUGGUGGACUCGAGUCCCGGAGAGGAGAGUGGAAUUCCUGGUGUAGCGGUGAAAUGCGUAGAUAUCAGGAGGAACACCGGUGGCGAAGGCGGCUCUCUGGACGGUGACUGACGCUGAGACGCGAAAGCGUGGGGAGCAAACAGG
rnacentral:rRNA from 1 species